rnacentral:misc_RNA from 1 species
GAAAUGCGAUAAGUAAUGUGAAUUGCAAAAUUCCGUGAAUCAUUAAAUCUUUGAACGCACCUUGCGCUCUUUGGCAAUCCAGAGAGCAUGUCUGUUUGAGAAUCAGUUUAAAUCUCAUUACCCAUUUAGUGAUAAAUGGUUUUUGUAAUGGUUGUGGGUUUUUCCAGUCCUUUUUGGAUUGGAAAUUCCUUAAAUAAAAGUUGCCUGGUUAUUAAUAAAAAGACGUAAACCGGAAAGCAUUACCAAUGAACUUGGGCAUUAAUUUGUUUAAACGUUCUUGAUUGCUGAUAAAGGAGCGGCUAUUAUUAUUUUUAUCCUAGUAAUAAUAAACUAAUACGAAAGGUUUUUUUAUCUUUUAAGACUCGAUCUCAAAUCAGACAAGACUACCCGCUGAACUUAA